ACUGAAUCCAUAGGUUAAUGAGGCGAACCGGGGGAACUGAAACAUCUAAGUACCCCGAGGAAAAGAAAUCAACCGAGAUUCCCCCAGUAGCGGCGAGCGAACGGGGAGGAGCCCAGAGCCUGAAUCAGUGUGUGUGUUAGUGGAAGCGUCUGGAAAGGCGCGCGAUACAGGGUGACAGCCCCGUACACAAAAAUGCACAUAUUGUGAGCUCGAUGAGUAGGGCGGGACACGUGGUAUCCUGUCUGAAUAUGGGGGGACCAUCCUCCAAGGCUAAAUACUCCUGACUGACCGAUAGUGAACCAGUACCGUGAGGGAAAGGCGAAAAGAACCCCGGCGAGGGGAGUGAAAAAGAACCUGAAACCGUGUACGUACAAGCAGUGGGAGCCUCUUUAUGGGGUGACUGCGUACCUUUUGUAUAAUGGGUCAGCGACUUAUAUUCUGUAGCAAGGUUAACCGAAUAGGGGAGCCGAAGGGAAACCGAGUCUUAACUGGGCGUUAAGUUGCAGGGUAUAGACCCGAAACCCGGUGAUCUAGCCAUGGGCAGGUUGAAGGUUGGGUAACACUAACUGGAGGACCGAACCGACUAAUGUUGAAAAAUUAGCGGAUGACUUGUGGCUGGGGGUGAAAGGCCAAUCAAACCGGGAGAUAGCUGGUUCUCCCCGAAAGCUAUUUAGGUAGCGCCUCGUGAAUUCAUCUCCGGGGGUAGAGCACUGUUUCGGCAAGGGGGUCAUCCCGACUUACCAACCCGAUGCAAACUGCGAAUACCGGAGAAUGUUAUCACGGGAGACACACGGCGGGUGCUAACGUCCGUCGUGAAGAGGGAAACAACCCAGACCGCCAGCUAAGGUCCCAAAGUCAUGGUUAAGUGGGAAACGAUGUGGGAAGGCCCAGACAGCCAGGAUGUUGGCUUAGAAGCAGCCAUCAUUUAAAGAAAGCGUAAUAGCUCACUGGUCGAGUCGGCCUGCGCGGAAGAUGUAACGGGGCUAAACCAUGCACCGAAGCUGCGGCAGCGACACUAUGUGUUGUUGGGUAGGGGAGCGUUCUGUAAGCCUGUGAAGGUGGCCUGUGAGGGUUGCUGGAGGUAUCAGAAGUGCGAAUGCUGACAUAAGUAACGAUAAAGCGGGUGAAAAGCCCGCUCGCCGGAAGACCAAGGGUUCCUGUCCAACGUUAAUCGGGGCAGGGUGAGUCGACCCCUAAGGCGAGGCCGAAAGGCGUAGUCGAUGGGAAACAGGUUAAUAUUCCUGUACUUGGUGUUACUGCGAAGGGGGGACGGAGAAGGCUAUGUUGGCCGGGCGACGGUUGUCCCGGUUUAAGCGUGUAGGCUGGUUUUCCAGGCAAAUCCGGAAAACCAAGGCUGAGGCGUGAUGACGAGGCACUACGGUGCUGAAGCGACAAAUGCCCUGCUUCCAGGAAAAGCCUCUAAGCAUCAGGUAACAUCAAAUCGUACCCCAAACCGACACAGGUGGUCAGGUAGAGAAUACCAAGGCGCUUGAGAGAACUCGGGUGAAGGAACUAGGCAAAAUGGUGCCGUAACUUCGGGAGAAGGCACGCUGAUAUGUAGGUGAAGCGACUUGCUCGUGGAGCUGAAAUCAGUCGAAGAUACCAGCUGGCUGCAACUGUUUAUUAAAAACACAGCACUGUGCAAACACGAAAGUGGACGUAUACGGUGUGACGCCUGCCCGGUGCCGGAAGGUUAAUUGAUGGGGUUAGCGGUAACGCGAAGCUCUUGAUCGAAGCCCCGGUAAACGGCGGCCGUAACUAUAACGGUCCUAAGGUAGCGAAAUUCCUUGUCGGGUAAGUUCCGACCUGCACGAAUGGCGUAAUGAUGGCCAGGCUGUCUCCACCCGAGACUCAGUGAAAUUGAACUCGCUGUGAAGAUGCAGUGUACCCGCGGCAAGACGGAAAGACCCCGUGAACCUUUACUAUAGCUUGACACUGAACAUUGAGCCUUGAUGUGUAGGAUAGGUGGGAGGCUUUGAAGUGUGGACGCCAGUCUGCAUGGAGCCGACCUUGAAAUACCACCCUUUAAUGUUUGAUGUUCUAACGUUGGCCCGUAAUCCGGGUUGCGGACAGUGUCUGGUGGGUAGUUUGACUGGGGCGGUCUCCUCCUAAAGAGUAACGGAGGAGCACGAAGGUUGGCUAAUCCUGGUCGGACAUCAGGAGGUUAGUGCAAUGGCAUAAGCCAGCUUGACUGCGAGCGUGACGGCGCGAGCAGGUGCGAAAGCAGGUCAUAGUGAUCCGGUGGUUCUGAAUGGAAGGGCCAUCGCUCAACGGAUAAAAGGUACUCCGGGGAUAACAGGCUGAUACCGCCCAAGAGUUCAUAUCGACGGCGGUGUUUGGCACCUCGAUGUCGGCUCAUCACAUCCUGGGGCUGAAGUAGGUCCCAAGGGUAUGGCUGUUCGCCAUUUAAAGUGGUACGCGAGCUGGGUUUAGAACGUCGUGAGACAGUUCGGUCCCUAUCUGCCGUGGGCGCUGGAGAACUGAGGGGGGCUGCUCCUAGUACGAGAGGACCGGAGUGGACGCAUCACUGGUGUUCGGGUUGUCAUGCCAAUGGCACUGCCCGGUAGCUAAAUGCGGAAGAGAUAAGUGCUGAAAGCAUCUAAGCACGAAACUUGCCCCGAGAUGAGUUCUCCCUGAGACUUAGAGUCUCCUGAAGGAACGUUGAAGACGACGACGUUGAU
rnacentral:rRNA from 1 species